UACGUAGGGUGCAAGCGUUGUCCGGAAUUAUUGGGCGUAAAGAGUUCGUAGGCGGUUUGUCGCGUCUGAUGUGAAAACCCGAGGCUCAACCUCGGGCCUGCAGUGGGUACGGGCAGACUAGAGUGCGGUAGGGGAGAAUGGAAUUCCUGGUGUAGCGGUGGAAUGCGCAGAUAUCAGGAGGAACACCAAUGGCGAAGGCAGAUCUCUGGGCCGGAACUGACGCUGAGGAGCGAAAGCAUGGGGAGCGAACAGG
rnacentral:rRNA from 1 species